rnacentral:rRNA from 1 species
GUGGGGAAUAUUGGACAAUGGGGGGAACCCUGAUCCAGCCAUGCCGCGUGUGUGAAGAAGGCCUUUUGGUUGUAAAGCACUUUAAGCGAGGAGGAGGCUACCGAGAUUAAUACUCUUGGAUAGUGGACGUUACUCACAGAAUAAGCACCGGCUAACUCUGUGCCAGCAGCCGCGGUAAUACAGAGGGUGCGAGCGUUAAUCGGAUUUACUGGGCGUAAAGCGUGCGUAGGCGGCUUUUUAAGUCGGAUGUGAAAUCCCCGAGCUUAACUUGGGAAUUGCAUUCGAUACUGGGAAGCUAGAGUAUGGGAGAGGAUGGUAGAAUUCCAGGUGUAGCGGUGAAAUGCGUAGAGAUCUGGAGGAAUACCGAUGGCGAAGGCAGCCAUCUGGCCUAAUACUGACACUGAGGUGCGAAAGCAUUGGGAGCAAACAGGAUUAGAUACCCCUGUAGUCC